UGCCUUCAGUGUUGCCUGUUUGUUUUGGUUGCUAACGAACAUGGUGUCAGAGAAGGCAUAAAACAAAUCCCCCCACUUGCAGCUUCAGGUCAUAAAC